rfam:Rozella allomycis CSF55 unplaced genomic scaffold scaffold_3308, whole genome shotgun sequence.
GCGUCAGUGGUUUAGUGGUAAAAUUAGCCCCUGCCACGGGUUAGCCCCGAGUUCGAUUCUCGGCUGACGCA